rnacentral:lncRNA from 1 species
CGGACCAUAAAAAAAGGUGCACAACAAGAGGGUAGCAGUAUAUCUCUCUUGCCACACAACAAAUGGUGAGGUGGUGGCACGCUGUCAUCAUUAGCAACAUGGAUGAGGUGGUGGCGUGGUGGGCCCUUGACUACCAUCGGCCGUGUUUGAGGUGAAGGUUGGCAAAGAGCACGUAGGUCUUAGGAGUAAUAACAGGAAAUGACAAGCUCUCGCAAAGAGUUGCGAACACUAUUAUUGGAGAUCUGAGGACGAUGGCCGGACGUAACCAUGCAUGAGAUCCCACAGUUGGAAAACAAGU